rnacentral:rRNA from 1 species
GUCCAGACUCCUACGGGAGGCAGCAGUGGGGAAUAUUGGGCAAUGGGCGCAAGCCUGACCCAGCAACGCCGCGUGAAGGAAGAAGGCUUUCGGGUUGUAAACUUCUUUUCUCAGGGACGAAGCAAGUGACGGUACCUGGGGAAUAAGCCACGGCUAACUACGUGCCAGCAGCCGCGGUAAUACGUAGGUGGCAAGCGUUAUCCGGAUUUACUGGGUGUAAAGGGCGUGUAGGCGGGACUGCAAGUCAGAUGUGAAAACCAUGGGCUCAACCUGUGGCCUGCAUUUGAAACUGUAGUUCUUGAGUACUGGAGAGGCAGGCGGAAUUCCUAGUGUAGCGGUGAAAUGCGUAGAUAUUAGGAGGAACACCAGUGGCGAAGGCGGCCUGCUGGGCUUUUACUGACGCUGAGGCUCGAAAGUGUGGGGAGCAAACAGGAUUAGAUACCCGUGUA